UCUGAUUUUCUUGUGAUGUCAGAGAUUGUAUGUGAGAGCAUGGAACGACAACUCUGCGUGGAAAUUGGCUCCUUAUAGAAUAGUGAAUCAGGCUUAAAUAGACAACUUUUUGAUUCAAAAAACACGGAAGGUGUGGUAAGCAGCUCCAGCCAUCUGAUGUAAACUCUAGUGUUUAAGGCUGUGAGCAUCAGAUGGCUGCACCUUUCAACUACAGAAGCUUGGCAUGUAACAGCAACUAAGAUACCUACAACACAUUAGCUUUCUGAAUGGUGAGAAUAAGCAUCUGUAAAGGACGUCUUCAUCGUUGUCAUCAACAUCUGUCAGCACAUAUCAGAGAUUGUUAAAUGAAUAACAAAGAUCUUCCGGAUGCUUCCAGUAUCAUCAACAACAAUUUAGAUCUUGAAGAAUACGAGACGUUAUGCACACCAGACAAUAGCGAUGACCAAGGGCGUGAAAGAGCAACCUAUAUAGAGCCCGUGUAUAGGACACAUGGCGCUGAUCAUCAAUUACCACUUUCGUUGGCCGUUGAAGCCGAACAACCAAGGCCUAAGGACAAUGGAGUGCCAAAUAAUGCCCGAGCUGUAAACGCAACACACGAGACAGGUUUUCCACCGGACACUUCAAGAUGCAGAGAAGAUACAGAGAGAGAAAACGAACAAUUACAAGCGCAAAUGUUGUGUAUCGAUUGCAAAGAGCAAUAUAAGGUUAUAGCGUUUCUUCCAUGUGGCCAUUUGCUUCUCUGCUUUGGUUGCUACAAAGGAGAAUCGCAUUGCCGGAUGUGUACAACAAAAAUAAACAACAUCGUUCGCGUAAAUUGGUUCUCGGAACAAAGCGGUCCAAAAGCUGUAUAUCCAUAGGCCAUUCAUUAUUGUGUAUCCAAAUCACUUCCUUUCUAUACCUUUACCUUUAAUUGUAUACAUGUAUGCGUCUAAUUUUUGCUGUUAAAUUCAUAGAUAUAUAUAUAUGCUGUAUCAUGAAAUAUCAUAUCAUAUUUUAUUGUAAAGUACAAUUUUU